AUAACUAUUGGAAACGAUAGCUAAGACCGCAUAGGUGUCAUAACCGCAUGGAGAUGAUAUGAAAUAUGCUACGGCAUAGGUAGAGGAUGGACUUAUGGCGCAUUAGCUAGUUGGAGGGGUAACGGCCCACCAAGGCGACGAUGCGUAGCCGACCUGAGAGGGUGACCGGCCACACUGGGACUGAGACACGGCCCAGACUCCUACGGGAGGCAGCAGUAGGGAAUUUUCGGCAAUGGGGGAAACCCUGACCGAGCAACGCCGCGUGAAGGAAGAAGUAAUUCGUUAUGUAAACUUCUGUCAUAGAGGAAGAACGGUGCGUGUAGGGAAUGACAUGCAAGUGACGGUACUCUAUAAGAAAGCCACGGCUAACUACGUGCCAGCAGCCGCGGUAAUACGUAGGUGGCGAGCGUUAUCCGGAAUUAUUGGGCGUAAAGAGGGAGCAGGCGGCACUAAGGGUCUGUGGUGAAAGAUCGAAGCUUAACUUCGGUAAGCCAUGGAAACCGUAGAGCUAGAGUGUGUGAGAGGAUCGUGGAAUUCCAUGUGUAGCGGUGAAAUGCGUAGAUAUAUGGAGGAACACCAGUGGCGAAGGCGACGAUCUGGCGCAUAACUGACGCUCAGUCCCGAAAGCGUGGGGAGCAAAUAGGAUUAGAUACCCUAGUAGUCCACGCCGUAAACGAUGAGUACUAAGUGUUGGGAGUCAAAUCUCAGUGCUG
rnacentral:rRNA from 1 species